rnacentral:rRNA from 1 species
UAUUUCGCAAUGGAGGAAACUCUGACGCGGUGACGCCGCGUAUAGGAAGAAGGUUUUCGGAUUGUAAACUAUUGUCGUGAGGGAAGAANUUGACAGCACCUCAGGAGGAAGCUCCGGCUAACUAUGCGCCAGCAGCCGCGGUAAUACAACGAGAGCAAGCGUUAUCCGGAUUUAUUGGGUGUAAAGGGUGCGUAGACGGGAAAUUAAGUUAGUUGUGAAAUCCCUCGGCUUAACUGAGGAACUGCAACUAAAACUGAUUUUCUUGAGUACUGGAGAGGAAAGUGGAAUUCCUAGUGUAGCGGUGAAAUGCGUAGAUAUUAGGAGGAACACCAGUGGCGAAGGCGACUUUCUGGACAGUAACUGACGUUGAGGCACGAAAGUGUGGGGAGCAAACAGG